rfam:Gossypium raimondii Chr04_contig_335, whole genome shotgun sequence.
AAUCCAUGCAGAGGACAUUUUCGAAGUAAUUCUUUAAAUCACUCCUAAGCUUCAUAUAAUGUUUCAUCCUUCAAUUGUCGAAAAGAUGUGAUGUCAUUUCUAAGCUU